GAAAUGCGAUACGUAAUGUGAAUUGCAGAAUUCAGUGAAUCAUCGAGUCUUUGAACGCACAUUGCGCCCCCUGGUAUUCCGGGGGGCAUGCCUGUCCGAGCGUCAUUGCUGCCCUCAAGCACGGCUUGUGUGUUGGGCCCCGUCCCCCCCCCAAGGGGACGGGCCCGAAAGGCAGCGGCGGCACCGUGUCCGGUCCUCGAGCGUAUGGGAAGCAACUUUUUGUCACCCGCUCCUGUAGGUCCGGCCGGCGGCCUGCCCAACCCCAACCUUUUUUUCAACCAGGUUGACCUCGGAUCAGGUAGGGAUACCCGCUGAACUUAAGC
rnacentral:misc_RNA from 1 species